rnacentral:tRNA from 1 species
ACCCAGGUUGCUCAGUUGGUUAAGCUUCUGACUUCAGCUCAGGUCUUGAUCUCACCGUUCGUGGGUUCAAGCCCCACGUUGGGCU